AGUUCAUUGGAGUUCUUUGCCGAAUCAAAUCUUCUCACAAAAUUGCAGCAUUAUGAAUGGGAGUCAAUGGAUUAACACUAGUGGUUUGUGAAGCAUUGAUCCAACAUUGGAUUAUGGUUUGGUUCAUGAGGAAUUUAUCAAAUGCUGGAUCGUGGUUUUUCAUGGAGAUGGAAUUAAUACGCGAUGUGUGUGGUUUUUGUGAAGAGGGGACCAUGCAUGA
rnacentral:lncRNA from 1 species